rnacentral:misc_RNA from 1 species
AAACCAAGUGUUUCCUUGUUUCCACUGUUUCAGUAAAACUUCUCCUACACACAUAUAUAACAUAUACAAGAUAUUUUUUUUCGUGGAUAUUGAUGAGUAUUGUUACUUAUUGGUUAUAUGCUGAAAAAAGUAAUUCACCAAGUAUUUACUAUUUUUUAUGUCUUUUCAAUUGGUGCCAUAGUUAAUCAUUAGGUGACAAGUUGCUGAUGAUAUAGUUCUGCCUGCUCAAAGGGUCCUCUCCAUACUUCUGCCGAACCUUCCC